CUUUGGCUGCUUGUGGCUACCAACCAAGUACAAACUUGUACAAGCAAAUUCCCUCAAGCAACCUGCAAUUGGCACAUUUGCGUAAAGAUACAUCUAUAGGAAGUAUUGCAUUUCAGCCGUUAUCAUCAACACCAUGUGAUAAGAGUCAACCGUUAUGGUUUGAAGAACACAACCUACGUUUGAAUAAAUAGAUUUUCUUUCCUCAAAGAACGAAAGAAAAAGAAGUUAAAAUUUUGCGUUUUGUGUGCAAAAGUUUGCGACAUUAAGGUAGGAAGGGACUGAUGCACCAUCCAUAUCCUUCAUGAGAAUUUUCGAGGUGGAAAGGAUCUGAU